UACCAGCUCUCCGAGUGGUGUGGAUGUUCAUUGGGCCUAAAGCAUCCGUAGCUGGCUGGGCAAGUCCCCUGUUAAAUCCACCGAUUUAAUCGUUGGUGUGCGGGGGAUACUGUUCGGCUAGGGGACGGGAGAGGCCGACGGUAUUUUCGGGGUAGGGGUGAAAUCCUAUAAUCCCGGGAAGACCACCAGUGGCGAAGGCUGUCGGCUAGAACGCGCCCGACGGUGAGGGAUGAAAGCUGGGGGAGCGAACCGGAUUAGAUACCCGGGUAGUCCCAGCUGUAAACGAUGCAGGCUAGGUGUUUGGGCGGCCACGUGCCGCUCUAGGUGCCGCAGAGAAGUCGUUAAGCCUGCCGCCUGGGGAGUACGGCCGCAAGGCUGAAACUUAAAGGAAUUGGCGGGGGAGCACCACAAGGGGUGAAGCUUGCGGUUU
rnacentral:rRNA from 1 species